rnacentral:rRNA from 1 species
UAGUCCACGCCGUAAACGAUGUGUGCUAGUUGUCGGGUCCAUAGGAUUCGGUGACGCAGUUAACGCACUAAGCACACCGCCUGGGGAGUACGGUCGCAAGAUUAAAACUCAAAGGAAUUGACGGGGACCCGCACAAGCGGUGGAGCAUGUUGUUUAAUUCGACGCAACGCGAAGAACCUUACCUACACUUGACAUACUCGUCGGGACUUUCAGAGAUGAUUGUCUUCGGUUCGGCCGGACGAUGUACAGGUGCUGCACGGCUGUCGUCAGCUCGUGUCGUGAGAUGUUUGGUUAAGUCCAGCAACGAGCGCAACCCCUAUCGUAUGUUGCCAGCAUUCAGUUGGGCACUCAUGCGAGACUGCCGGUGUUAAGCCGGAGGAAGGUGGGGACGACGUCAAGUCAUCAUGGCCCUUACGUGUAGGGCUACAAUGGCAUCUACAGAGGGAAGCGAGUCCGCGAGGCCGAGCAAAUCCCAAAAAGAUGUCUCAGUUCGGAUUGG